GAGAUUUGAGAGGGGCUGCUCCUAGUACGAGAGGACCGGAGUGGACGAACCUCUGGUGUUCCGGUUGUCACGCCAGUGGCACUGCCGGGUAGCUAUGUUCGGAAUAGAUAACCGCUGAAAGCAUCUAAGCGGGAAACUAGCCUCAAGAUGAGAUCUCACUGGGAACUUGAUUCCCCUGAAGGGCCGUCGAAGACUACGACGUUGAUAGGUCGGGUGUGUAAGCGCUGUGAGGCGUUGAGCUAACCGAUACUAAUUGCCCGUGAGGCUUGACCAUAUAACACCCAAACAAUU
rnacentral:rRNA from 1 species